GACGAACGCUGGCGGCGUGCUUAACACAUGCAAGUCGAGCGGUAAGGCCCUUUCGGGGUACACGAGCGGCGAACGGGUGAGUAACACGUGGGUGACCUGCCCUCAGCUCUGGGAUAAGCCUGGGAAACCGGGUCUAAUACUGGAUAUGACUCCAUGACGCAUGUUGUGGGGUGGAAAGCCUUGUGCGGCUGAGGAUGGGCCCGCGGCCUAUCAGCUUGUUGGUGGGGUGAUGGCCUACCAAGGCGACGACGGGUAGCCGGCCUGAGAGGGCGACCGGCCACACUGGGACUGAGACACGGCCCAGACUCCUACGGGAGG
rnacentral:rRNA from 1 species